GGGAGGCUUUGAAUAUUAGGACAGAGUCCUUGCGCUGAACUCUGCAUUCACUGGAGAUCCAGCACCAGGUCAAUGUGUUCAUGGAACCUGUGCUAACAAACAGAUGGACUGCUGCACUUCGUACCAGCUGAAGCUUUUAACAGGGCUCAUACAGGCUGAGAAGACAGAAAUGGUGUUUUUUCUUUCUUCAUGUCUUAAUUUGUCGUUCCCUUAAAGCAAAUCAAGAAAGAAGACCACUAAAAGAAUCACUUGUUGAGCAAGCGAUAGGAGCGUUCCAGUGACUGCCACGGACAGAAAGAAGGAACUGAGGAGGGAACGGGCUGGCAGGUGCCGAUACACCGUGCUAUGGAGGCACCACUCCAGGGGGCACCAGAGACAACCCGACGGAUACCACUAGGGGAAAAAAGUCUUCCAGCAAUGGUGCACGCAACACAGGCACGCUUAUAUUGGAAUGGUCAUGAGCAACACAUCUCAAAGAAGAACAAUCUGUUCCGCCUUACAUUUUGCUUUGACACUGGGAGUUCCUCUCCCAGACCUGAAGAACAGCUCUGUGUGGUCAAAUGCUUCUCUCUCACCAACAGAAAUUGGUCCAGUCAAAGAUAUUACCUCACCGACCUUGAUAUCUGUCUCUGGAAAUAUCUCCUCAUUCAUGUUUUAGUAACAGCCGGCUGGAGUCAGAAAGGCCUGAAUCUCAAGAGUUCAGGGCCAGAUUUUCAAGUGUUCAGUACUCACAAUUGCAAAGGCCCAAUUUUCAAAAGAGCUCAGGACCUAUUUACUCACCUAAGUAAGGAACACAUUUUGAAAAGUGUUCAACACCAGAAGUUCCCAUUGUGACAUUCAUAGCCAGAUUGUAGAAAAGGGAUCAGCACUCAAUAUACUGAGCUCUUUUGAAAAUCUGGCCACGAAUUUUGGUGCGUAAAUGAUUGCUGAGCUUUUUUGAAAGUCUGGACCUAAAUCUAGGCCCAAGUUUGAAAAAGAAAAAAAUCCCAACCAAUAUUGGUGGCAUUGAAGUUUGGCUACAGACUGGGGUUUGACUCAUUACUAAGCCAUAUAACCUAUGCUGAUGUUCAACUACUUAUUUAUGACCUGAUUUUCAGAAAUGCAGGCAUCUUUUCAUGCUUUUGACUUGUGCGUGCAAACUCCAAUAUGUGCAUAUAGUCCUUAUUUGCAUGUGUGGAGGUAUACUUGUCUCUGUAAAAAUCAGAAGUGGCACAUGCAUCAGAGUUUUGUAUGUUCAAGGUUAGGCACAUGAAACUGUGAGUGUGAGAACUUCUGCAUAUGCAUUUUGCUAAUCAGUCUCAUAGCCAGGAAAAAAAAAUGGAUUUUUCUUUUCAUACAGUUGAUAUGUUGCUGUACGACCCCCAACUUUUGUGUUUCCUGCCUUUUUUCUUUUAACUUUAACAUUUAAU